UACGGGGGGGGCAAGCGUUGUUCGGAAUUACUGGGCGUAAAGGGCUCGUAGGCGGCCAACUAAGUCAGACGUGAAAUCCCUCGGCUUAACCGGGGAACUGCGUCUGAUACUGGAUGGCUGGAGGUUGGGAGAGGGAUGCGGAAUUCCAGGUGUAGCGGUGAAAUGCGUAGAUAUCUGGAGGAACACCGGUGGCGAAGGCGGCAUCCUGGACAGUUACUGACGCUGAGGUGCGAAAGCGUGGGGAGCAAACAGG
rnacentral:rRNA from 1 species